GAGCUGGGAAGUGGACUAUGAAGAAUCUCUCAUCUGCUGCUCGCUCAGCCUGUUUUCAGCAAUAUUAUCAGUCCUACACACCACAUCCAUUAUUUCAUGUGGCUUCUACCCUUUUACUCUGCUGCACAAAAAUAGGGAAAUCUCCUUUUUGUCCUUCAAACCUACCACAUGGUUUGGCUGCUUUUACCUGGUACACAUUUGAAUCAGGCCCAACUACAAUUGUGGGAGGUGAUAUCUGUUGAUCAUCCUGAGAAGUAAUCUCAUGAUGGAACCAUUUGAUCAUACUGUUCCCCAGGAGAUGUACAUCUGGACCAUUUCGGGUCUUCCAUGUAUUUGAGUGCUGAUGGAUUGUACUAAGUGAUUGGAUUUAAAGUGAGCAGAGAAAGGUAAUCAGCAUAACAAUUUCAUGUGAUGAUGGCCUUUUUAUCCUUAUAUGUGUGGAAGUAUAUGACAGUAAUGGGAUCUCUUUAUUAUUUAGUUCAUCUAAGUGUUCUCUUUCAGCUUCAGAGAAAAAAAAGACAAAGGUUUCAUCUGUGUAGAAGGUGCUCAGUGGAAUGUUUUACCAGCUUGAACUGCAACUAUUUCCAUAUAAGAGCAGUGGAUUGCUUCUAUAUGACAACGAGAGGGGAUAAAGAGCUGGGAAGCCACCCUCAGUCCUACAGCCAGGCAGUAAUGCAAUGCAGACAGACAUGAUAAUUCAGCAGACAGAGGACAUGACAAUCCAACUUGAAUUUGACGUGUGACUUUGGAGGCUGGAAGAGCUAAGCCACCCGUGGAACUCUUAUAUUGAAGAAAAUGAACCCUGCUUUUAGGAAAUGGUAAAGGACCCUCAAAAACUUUUCCUAGUACCAACAUGGCCCCACUGCCUCUGUAAUACAGUCCCGGGCUACCUGUCCAGCAAUAUUUACCAUUGUUUCCUUUCCCACUCCCCAUGCAGUAUGUAAGCUAAACUAUUUGAAACUCUCUGUACAAACUCAAGACAAUCUUACCUUAUGCAUCUCUUUCUCCUCAAACAUCUUACUCUCAUCUCUGCCUGUAUUCCUCACCCCAGGAAAUAGAAGCUCUGUUUAUCAACACUACUAACUGCCAAACAAAAGAUUUGAAACCACCCUUGAAUUCUUUUUUAUAUCUGCUUGUCAGGUCCACCUGAUUCCAACUCCUCACCCCUUCCAUUAGUACAAAGCUGCUGCAAGCCUCUGCCUCUCUUGUGUGGAUUAUUGCAAUAAACUUCUAAUCAGUCUUGUUGUUUCUUCCCUU
rnacentral:lncRNA from 1 species